UACGUAGGGUGCGAGCGUUAAUCGGAAUUACUGGGCGUAAAGCGUGCGCAGGCGGUGAGCUGUGUCCGAUGUGAAAGCCCCGGGCUCAACCUGGGAAUGGCAUUUGGGACUGCAAGGCUUGAGUGCGGCAGAGGAGACUGGAAUUCCUGGUGUAGCAGUGAAAUGCGUAGAUAUCAGGAGGAAUACCGAUGGCGAAGGCAGGUCUCUGGGCUGACACUGACGCUCAUGCACGAAAGCGUGGGGAGCAAACAGG
rnacentral:rRNA from 1 species